GACGAACGCUGGCGGCGUGCCUAAUACAUGCAAGUCGAGCGGACCAAAGGGAGCUUGCUCCUGGAGGUCAGCGGCGAACGGGUGAGUAACACGUGGGCAACCUGCCUGUAAGACUGGGAUAACAUCGAGAAAUCGGUGCUAAUACCGGAUAAUAAAAAGAACUGCAUGGUUCUUUUUUGAAAGAUGGUUUCGGCUAUCACUUACAGAUGGGCCCGCGGCGCAUUAGCUAGUUGGUGAGGUAACGGCUCACCAAGGCAACGAUGCGUAGCCGACCUGAGAGGGUGAUCGGCCACACUGGGACUGAGACACGGGCCCAGACUCCUACGGGAGGCAGCAGUAGGGAAUCUUCCGCAAUGGACGAAAGUCUGACGGAGCAACGCCGCGUGAGUGAUGAAGGUUUUCGGAUCGUAAAACUCUGUUGUUAGGGAAGAACAAAGUGCCGUUCGAAAGGGCGGCACCUUGACGGUACCUAACGACGAAAGCCACGGCUAACUACCGUGCCAGCAGCCGCGGU
rnacentral:rRNA from 1 species